UAUGGUGUGCCGGGGGCCGCGCGGGCCGGGAGUUGGGUGGGCUGGGGGACAGGCGCGCCCGCGCCGCCCGCUCCAGCUGGGCUAGUGCUGCACAUUCCGGCCAGCCCCUCCUCAAGACCCCAUUCCCAAGCCCCUUCUCAGCUCCCUCGGGCCGGCAGAGCGGCUCUGAUCAGUAAAAUGCUGUUGAAGGCCCACGGGCAUGACUGCACCCCUCACUAAUUGGUCAUUGGUUUGGGGAGGACACCACUGUCCCAGUGGAACCUUGAGCACACCUUGGAGCCCUCCUCUUCCUCUCCGGACCUGUGCCAAACUGUGAGUGGCACAGAGCAAGGACUGUAUGUGUUCUCUUCUUUGUUGCAUACUCAGUUCCUUGACCACAGUGCCAAGCACACAGCGAGCACUCCCUGUGUAUCUGCUGAGUAAAUAAACGAAUGAACAAACCCAACACAUUUCAGCCAAGUCCUGCUGAUGUUUCUCCUCCGAUCUAGCUCCUCCUUUCCAGCCUUACUUCUGCCACUCCAGAUUUCACCCCCAUCAGCUUCAGACUGGAUAAAAGGAAACCAUUUCUCUAAAGGAUCACUUGCUCUCUCAUUUCAGGCCAUCCUGCAGCCACCAGAACCUUCCACAUGAAAUGAAAGGCUCACCACUUCAUAGGCUUUAAGGAAAUUCUUGGCCAGGUGUGGUGCCUCACUCAUGUAAUCCCAGUGCUUUAAGAGGCCAAGAUGGGAGGAUUGUUUGAGCCAGCUGUUUGAGACCAGCCUGGGCAACGUCAUGAGACCCCAUCUCCACAAAAAAAAAAAAAAAGAA
ensembl:lncRNA TRIM52-AS1 TRIM52 antisense RNA 1 (head to head)